UACAUGUUCUCCCCAGACUAGGAUCAUGU
rnacentral:piRNA from 1 species